CACGAGUCUGGUCACAGAGAUGCAAGAAAGCCUGAAUCCUUCCAAGAACUGCCAGGAAGACAGCAUGGCUGGAAUAUCUGAGCAUAUGAGGAUGGUCUCCAUUUUCAAGAAAACUCAGGAUUCAAGAAGUUCUCUCCAUCUGCAGCUAUCAAGUCAGCAGGAAGGAGGACUAGUGUUACUCCUCUGAUGCUGUUCUUGUAUUAUAAAAAGAAAAAUUAUAUGAGUGAAACUAAUCAAAUCACAAGAGAUCUUUAAAAGCAGAGAGCUUUCUCAAGCUGGCAGCAGAAGAGGAAUGCAGAUGGUGAAGUCAGAGAGAUCUGAGUCAAGAGAAGAAUCUGAUGGAGCAUUACUGUGAUGAAGAUGGAAGGACCAUGAACAAUGACUAGAGAGUGACCCCUCUCAUAACAACCAGCAAGAAUAUAGGGACCUCAGUCCUACAACCACAAGGAACCGAGUUUUGCCAACAACCUGAAUGAACCUGGAAAUGGAUUCUUUCCCAGAUUGUACAAAUAAGAGCCCAGUUUGGAUAGAUCCUUGAUUUUGGCAUUGUAAAACCCUAAGCAGAGACGCCAUCUGGACUUCUGACCUAGAGAAAUGUGAGCUAAUAACUGGGUGCUAU